GUGUUUUAUGUAAUUGUGUAUCAAUGUAUAUUAUUUAGAAUUUUUUUUUUACAAAUUACUUAACAAGUAAUUGAUUUUACCGUAUUUUUUUUUUGUAUAUACCUAGGCUAGUUGUAUGACGUGCACAUUUGACAUUGAUUUCUUAAUUUUUUGCUUAUCAGCACUACCAUUAACAUUAUGAUUAAUUUUAUGUGUGAUUUUAUAUCAUGCAUUUGUAUUAUAAAUGGUUUGAUUUUGUACCAGAUGUAAAUUAAAUUGUUUUGAAAAAAAAUAUACAAUAUAGUGAUUUUAGACUAUAAUUUUUUUGUUUGUAAAUUAUUAGAUUGGAAUAAACCUCUAAUGGUUCCAUUAAACUUUUUUUUAAAAUUAUAAUUAGAUCAGAGUAUCAAAUUAUUGGUGUAGAACUGUGAAGAUAACAUACUAUAUUUAAAGUAGCACUAUCAUAUAGAUAUAAUGUGUUGAAAUUUAAUUCAGAAAAAAAUCUAGGCUACAAAUAAUGUCUAAAAUCAUAUUACUCGAAAAAUAAUGAAACCUAGUUUACUUCUUAUUAAGUGCAAUAAGAACAAAGUAAAGUACCUUUUUUCUUUCCCAGUGAGAGAAGAUUUUCAAAAAAAGUUAAACCAAUUUUUUAACAGCGAGUAUAAUAUAUAUCUAGGUGCCUUAAGAGGGCUCCACACCCGCAUGUGUCUCCGUCUACAGGCAAUUUUGGAAAUUUUACUCUUAUUUAAUAUUUUUUAAAUUAGAGUGAAUAACCCAUGGACCAGGAUACGAUUUAAAGGUCAGAAUAAAAAAACAAAAUCUGUGAAUGGCAGGGCUAUCUAGUAAGGCAGUGACGGCCAUGUGUAUGUCGAAAAGUUAGAGGAAAAUAGCACGCCGUUAUAGUUCGGACACAGAAAUUACUUUGACUGUUUAAAUUUGUAAGUGUUUUUAGUUUUUGUAAAAUGUUUAUAGUAACUAUUGAAAUUAAUAUGAUUAAUUAAAUAAUCUUUAUUAGUUUAUAGAUCUGACUUUUCUAAGUACACGAAAAUAUCGAGAUUAAAAUCCAUAAGUACAAAUUUAAAGUGUAUUUUUGUAUGCUACUUAGGUACCGGGGGUAUGGGGAGAGCCCCCUAUAAGCCCUAUAAGACUUUUAUCAACAAAUAUUUUAAAUUAAAAUUUCAAAUUCAUAAAUUAUUACAAAAAUACAAAAUGAAACCAAGUUAUGUCAUAGUUGUAUCUUGUAUUAGUAUAUAAUUAGUUUGUUACUCGGUAAGCAAUAAGCAUAAUUUAAAAAUAAAUGGUUUUUUCAUUUUCA